GUUUGAUCCUGGCUCAGAGCGAACGUUAGCGGCGCGCCUAACACAUGCAAGUCGCACGAGAAAGGGGGCAACCCCCGGUACAGUGGCGCACGGGUGAGUAACACGUGGGUGAUCUGCCCAGAAGAAGGGGAUAACCUCUCGAAAGGGGGGCUAAUACCGCAUAGGACCACCGGGGCUUUGGCUCUGUGGUGAAAGGGGGCCUCUGUUUACAAGCUCCUGCUUCUGGAUGAGCCCGCGUCCCAUCAGCUAGUUGGUAGGGUAAUGGCCUACCAAGGCUACGACGGGUAGCUGGUCUAAGAGGAUGGCCAGCCACACUGGAACUGAGACACGGUCCAGACUCCUACGGGAGGCAGCAGUGGGGAAUCUUGCGCAAUGGGCGAAAGCCUGACGCAGCGACGCCGCGUGGGUGACGAAGGCCUCGGUGUAAGCCU
rnacentral:rRNA from 1 species